ACUGUGUCUCUCUGCAGUCAUGUUGGUGUAACUAGUCUUGAGAUGUAUAAAUAAAUAAAAUACAUUGUUUUGAUCAGGUUUUUUGCUUUUGUGGAACUUAUCUUUUUAUUGACGUUUGUUAAUCAAACUCAUAACUACUGUUUAUGUGUUCUACUUGUAGCCCUGGUUGUCCUGAAAAUAAAAUGGUUAAACACUUCAUUGUGAGGCUAAAUAUAAGGGCUGAACAUGCUGAUAAAUGAAAGUCAGAUCAUUGAAAAGACCAUUUUUUUCUGGGAACUUUUGACUGAUAGGGUUAACAUCAUGUUCUGAUGUUGUUGCCCUUGGUCAGAGAUUACGCCCACAUCUCUAUAAACCAUCAGCUGCAUCUCCACUUGUAGACAUAUGACUGUAGAUCCCCAACUCAGCAGGCAGGCAAAGACUUUAGAAGACUGCUGCAGCCCAUCCAUCUUUAGGUGGUGGGAUUCCCCUCCUGGUGGGGUUAUAGUGAUGGAGAGGCCUGAAGAUGAGGGGUCACCUGGUGGGGUUCUAGUAAUGGAGAAGCCUGAAGAAGAGGAGUCACCUGGUGGAGUUAUAGUGAUGGAGAAGCCUGAUGAUGAGGAGUCACCUGGUGGGGUUAUAGUGAUGGAGAGGCCUGAAGAUGAGGAGUCACCUGGUGGGGUUAAAGUGAUGGAGAGGCCUGAAGAUGAGGGGUCACCAGGUGCAACAGGUGGUGAAGGGGAUGGAAGAGACACCACACCUGUUCACAGCACUGGUACUCCUGAUGGCAUGUCAGCACUAGGAGUUAUGCUACAGGGCUUCAUGUUAAAUCAACAGCAGUCAAUGCAACAGCAACAGCAGUCAAUGCAACAGGCAAUGCAAUCCAUGCAGCAGCAGAUCAGCCAGCUACAGGAGGAGGUGCAGAAAGGAAAGACAAAGCAACAGUGUGUUGUGACCCCUUUACCAGCAGCAAACCCAGACACUUUGACAAGACCAGCUCCUCAGUCUCGAGACCCAGCAGAGGAGGUAUCAGGUGAACACGUUGACAAGAAGGAGGAGGCAGCAGAGAUGGUAAGACACAAUUACAUAAGAAGAAAAGGUCCUAAGAAAGUAUCACAUUAUGAUGUCAUCUAAAGUUAAAACUGAUAUUUAAAAACCCUGAUGAAUUUCCAUCCAGGGGCCUCUACAUGUUUGUGAAAUUCAUAGUAAUUGAGAGAUCACAGGGUUAUACUUUGUAUUUUUUAAAUGUAACUAGGCAAGUCAGAACAAAUUGUUAUUUUCAAUGACGGCCUAGGAACAGUGGGUUAACUGCCUGUUCAGGGGCAGAACAGUCUUAACAGUCAGUAAUAAACCAUGUAUAAACAGAGAGAACAGGGUAAUACUGUGUAUUAACAGUCAAUAAUAAACCAUGUAUAAACAGACAGAACAGGGUAAUACUGUGUA
rnacentral:lncRNA from 13 species